UCAAAAAAUAUAAAUCCAAAAGUUAUUAGAUUUCCGUGUAAUACCAUGCCCCCAUCAAUAAUCGGCGUCACUGUACGCUCAGUAGUUAUGCUUUAGGGAACCGCAGAAAACGGAACAAAACAAACUGGAGAUUUGUGAAUGAACAGGCAUCGAUUGUUUAUUAUAAAUAUCUGUUUAGGCAGUCUUGAAGUCGAUUUGAAUUCUAGAUUCUAAACUUAAGUCUAUUACUUAGAAGUAUCCUAAUUGAUUGUAGAUAGUACGGUUAGUUCACAGAGGUAGCAUAUGUGAGAAUAGUUCGUGUAAAUUGAAGAACGGUUAUCGCAGAUUGUGAACGCAGUGUAUGAUUUAUCCCUACUACAUUCCUGCAGGCUUACUACACUAAGACAGACAUCAUAUACUUACCGUACAGGACCGCUUUCCGGAUAUAACGGGACAUUGUGAGAGACACUAAACGUGAGUAGAUAAAACCAGCAUUUAAGAUAUUGUUAAAGACAAUAAUUAAGUACAUAAAACAUGUAAUGUAACGCAAUGAAUGCUUUC